GACGAACGCUGGCGGCGUGCUUAACACAUGCAAGUCGAACGGUGAAGCCCUUCGUUUUUGAUCAGUUCCGAACGGGUGCGUAACACGUGAGCAACCUGCCCCUGCCUCUGGCUCUACCACUGGAUCCGGUAACUGAUACCAAAACCGGCUCGGCUCUGCUGCUGGUUUGUGUGGAAUGUUUUGCGGCUGGGGAUGGGCUCGCGGCCUAUCAGCUUGUUGGUGAGGGGAAGGCUCACCAAGGCCACGACGGGUAGCCGGCCUGAGAGGGCGACCGGCCACACUGGGACUGAGACACGGCCCAGACUCCUACGGGAGGCAGCAGUGGGGAAUAUUGCACAAUGGGCGAAAGCCUGAUGCAGCAACGCCGCGUGAGGGAUGACGGCCUUCGGGUUGUAAACCGCUUUCAGCUCCGAAGAAGCGAAAGUGACGGUAGGAGCAGAAGAAGCACCGGCUAACUACGUG
rnacentral:rRNA from 1 species